rnacentral:rRNA from 1 species
AUUGAACGCUGGCGGCGUGCCUAACACAUGCAAGUCGAGCGGUAACAGGUGUAGCAAUACAUGCUGACGAGCGGCGGACGGGUGAGUAACGCUUGGGAAUCUGCCUGUUAGUGGGGGACAACCCGGGGAAACUCGGGCUAAUACCGCAUACGCACUACGGUGGAAAGCCGGGGACCGCAAGGCCUGGCGCUAACAGAUGAGCCCAAGUCGGAUUAGCUAGUUGGUAGGGUAACGGCCACCAAGGCGACGGUCCGUAACUGGUCUGAGAGGACGACCAGUCACACCGGAACUGAGACACGGUCCGGACUCCUACGGGAGGCAGCAGUGGGGAAUAUUGGACAAUGGGCGAAAGCCUGAUCCAGCGACGCCGCGUGGGUGAAGAAGGCCUGCGGGUUGUAAAGCCCUUUCGGUGGGGAAGAAAAGCCUCGAGCUAACAUCUCGGGGUCUUGACGUAACCCAUAGAAGAAGCACCGGCUAACUCUGUGCCAGCCGCCGCAGUAAU